rnacentral:rRNA from 1 species
CUUUAUUGGAGAGUUUGAUCCUGGCUCAGGACGAACGCUGGCGGCGUGCCUAAUACAUGCAAGUCGAGCGGACAGAUGGGAGCUUGCUCCCUGAUG